AGCCCAUGAAAAUGGCAUAGUCUUAAUUCUUUAUAACGCUCCCAUGCGUCAAACAAUGAUUCCCCAUCUUAUUGGCUAAACUUUUUAAUCUCACUCCUAACUUU